GAGUUUGAUCCUGGCUCAGGAUGAACGCUAGCGGCAGGCUUAACACAUGCAAGUCGAGGGGUAGAGUUAGCUUGCUAACUUGAGACCGGCGCACGGGUGCGUAACGCGUAUGCAAUCUACCUUGUACAGGGGGAUAGCCCAGAGAAAUUUGGAUUAAUACCCCAUAGUGUUAUGAUGUGGCAUCACAUUAUAACUAAAGUUCCAACGGUACAAGAUGAGCAUGCGUCCCAUUAGCUAGUUGGUGUGGUAACGGCAUACCAAGGCAACGAUGGGUAGGGGUCCUGAGAGGGAGAUCCCCCACACUGGUACUGAGACACGGACCAGACUCCUACGGGAGGCAGCAGUGAGGAAUAUUGGUCAAUGGGCGCAAGCCUGAACCAGCCAUGCCGCGUGCAGGAUGACGGUCCUAUGGAUUGUAAACUGCUUUUGUACAGGAAGAAACACUCCCUCGUGAGGGAGCUUGACGGUACUGUAAGAAUAAGGAUCGGCUAACUCCGUGCCAGCC
rnacentral:rRNA from 1 species